GUUUGAAACUCUCUUCCAAAGUCCCCUAGCUACCCAUCACAUGUUGCAGCUGGUACUCAUUUCGUGUCUGGAUAUCUGUGGACUCCGCCUGCUCUAUCCUCAGCAGGAUGUGCUGCUCUCUAGAUCAGAAAAGCUGCCUUCUUCCUAUACUUCAAAGACUGGCAAGGUGCCACCAGUGCUGGCGUUAGGUGUGAGAGGGCCUAAAGCAUGUAGCACCUUGCAGGAUCUCAUCGGGCUGUGUGACCCGCAGCUGGCGAGCAUGGGGGACUGCAGUUCCAUCAAUGCCAUGCACUGCAGGAGCCGAGCGGAGCCUCUCGCCUGCCUGCCCCUCGGGGACAGCUGCGUGCACAGGGAGCUGUGCCUCUGGUUUGGAGGGAGGGCUGCUGAUGCAGCACUGCACGCUGCCGUCCUGGAGCCCGCUUCCCUGUGCAACGACACAGCAAGCUGUCAGAGUCCUUCAUCAUCUAGGGCAGAAGCAGAUGAAGAAAAGGUUGAUUUCCAGGGCAUGGUGCUGUCUCGACCUCCAGCAAUGCUUGUCUCAACUACCAAAGGUCAGUGUUAGGGAAUGCAUCUUCAGGUUUUAUGGUUCUCCUUCACUGGCAAUAUUACCUUACUC
rnacentral:lncRNA from 1 species